UCGAUCAAACGUGGCGGAAUAGAAAACGAUUUCCCUUUCGAACCGAAGAUGAUUACUCCAAGUUGAAAUUCGAUCCACCAUCUGUGGUGAUGAUCGGCCAGCCAACAACAGAUGAUGCGAUAUUUCGUCAAUCUAAUCAGAGAGCAACGAAAGACGAGUGGUCCAUAUUUUUGAGUGAGAUUUUGCGUCGAACAAGCGCAGCGUCCGAAAAAGGAACGAUCGCGUGGCAGACUUGUGCGCGGUAUCUUUCACCUUUAUACCUGUGCUUUGCUGACACGCAGUGGCGAACCUGGCGAACUUAUCCUGUCUGAUAAGCAUUUGUCGGACCUAUUUGUUUUCCGAAACACGGCUGGUGCAGUAUCACUAAUCAUCGAACGAGUGUGGCUUUGUUUCCAGUCGGGUCGCAUUGUACGAGGAAGUUCUUAUUAUAGUGUCAAGUUGAAGAAUGACUUUGGCACUUGAAAUUGAGGUUAGAGACGAUCUUAUGGCUCGGACCCAUCACGGAGUAGCAACCAUUGAUAUCUUAAAUCUUGUGACGCUGGAAAUUCAAAAGCAAUAGUAGGCGGGAAAUUUGGAUCCUAUGGAAACAGGUUGAUAAAAGUAAAUGACAAAAAAAGUUCUGAAUUCUAUAGCGAACUUGAUCUAACUUCCAACUAUUAUAUUGCGUUUUGUACCCAAAAAUAAAAGUUUAUCAUAGACGUAUCAAUUUUCUCACGAUGAGAAAUGUCUAUUAUCUGCGCCUCUGGGAGUCAUAUUGAGAAACAAAUGAUAGCGGUAUACACAAGUUCAAAGGUUUUCGAAAAAAAAAAACACGAAGGAAUUCCAUUCACGUCGAGGACAUGAUUGUACAAUAUUGCGAAUUUUCUUAAAUAAAUUA